GACGAACGCUGGCGGCGUGCUUAACACAUGCCAGUCGAACGGAAAGGCCCUGCUUUUGUGGGGUGCUCGAGUGGCGAACGGGUGAGUAACACGUGAGUAACCUGCCCUUGACUUUGGGAUAACUUCAGGAAACUGGGGCUAAUACCGGAUAGGAGCUCCUGCUGCAUGGUGGGGGUUGGAAAGUUUCGGCGGUUGGGGAUGGACUCGCGGCUUAUCAGCUUGUUGGUGGGGUAGUGGCUUACCAAGGCUUUGACGGGUAGCCGGCCUGAGAGGGUGACCGGCCACAUGGGAACUGGGAUACGGCCCAGACUCCUACGGGAGGCAGCAGUGGGGAAUAUUGCACAAUGGGCGGAAGCCUGAUGCAGCAACGCCGCGUGCGGGAUGACGGCCUUCGGGUUGUAAACCGCUUUCGCCUGUGACGAAGCGUGAGUGACGGUAAUGGGUAAAGAAGCACCGGCUAACUACGU
rnacentral:rRNA from 1 species